UACGAAGGGGGCGAGCGUUGUCCGGAUUUACUGGGCGUAAAGAGCGCGCAGGCGGUCGAUCAAGUCGAGUGUGAAAGCCCCCGGCUCAACUGGGGAGGGUCAUUCGAUACUGAUCGACUCGAAGGCAGGAGAGGGUAGUGGAAUUCCCGGUGUAGUGGUGAAAUGCGUAGAUAUCGGGAGGAACACCAGUGGCGAAGGCGACUACCUGGCCUGUUCUUGACGCUGAGGCGCGAAAGCUAGGGGAGCAAACGGG
rnacentral:rRNA from 1 species